AUUGAACGCUGGCGGCAUGCUUUACACAUGCAAGUCGAACGGUAACAGGCCGCAAGGUGCUGACGAGUGGCGAACGGGUGAGUAAUGCAUCGGAACGUGCCCAGUCGUGGGGGAUAACGCAGCGAAAGCUGCGCUAAUACCGCAUACGAUCUAUGGAUGAAAGCGGGGGACCGUAAGGCCUCGCGCGAUUGGAGUGGCCGAUGUCAGAUUAGGUAGUUGGUGGGGUAAAGGCUCACCAAGCCAACGAUCUGUAGCUGGUCUGAGAGGACGACCCGCCACACUGGGACUGAGACACGGCCCAGACUCCUACGGGAGGCAGCAGUGGGGAAUUUUGGACAAUGGGCGCAAGCCUGAUCCAGCAAUGCCGCGUGCAGGAAGAAGGCCUUCGGGUUGUAAACUGCUUUUGUACGGAACGAAAAGGCUCUGGAUAAUACCUGGGGCUCAUGACGGCACCGUAAGAAUAAGCACCGGCUAACUACGUGCCAGCCGCCGCCGUAACAC
rnacentral:rRNA from 1 species